AGCGAACGCUGGCGGCAGGCCUAACACAUGCAAGUCGAACGAAGCCUUCGGGCUUAGUGGCGGACGGGUGAGUAACACGUGGGAACGUACCUUUUGGUUCGGAAUAACGCAGAGAAAUUUGCGCUAAUACCGAAUGAGCCCUUAGGGGGAAAGAUUUAUCGCCGAAAGAUCGGCCCGCGUUGGAUUAGGUAGUUGGCGUGGUAAAGGCGCACCAAGCCUACGAUCCAUAGCUGGUCGGAGAGGAUGAUCAGCCACACUGGGACUGAGACACGGUCCAGACUCCUACGGAAUGCGGCAGUGGGGAAUCUUGCGCAAUGGGCGAAAGCCUGACGAAGCCAUGCCGCGUGAAUGAUGAAGGUCUUAGGAUUGUAAAAUUCUUUUACGAGGGACGAUAAUGACGGUACCUGAAGAAAAAGCCCCGGCUAACUUCGUGCCAGCCGCCGCCGUAACAC
rnacentral:rRNA from 1 species